GAAAUGCGAUAAGUAAUGUGAAUUGCAGAAUUCCGUGAAUCAUCGAAUCUUUGAACGCGCAUUGCGCCCUCUGGUAUUCCGGGGGGCAUGCCUGUCCGAGCGUCAUUGCGAACCCCUCAAGCACGGCUUGUGUGAUGGGCCCUCCCGCGUCUUGGUCGUCAAGACGGGCCCGAAAUGCAGUGGCGGCUUCGCGGUUAUCCGAUCAGCCAGAGCGUAUGGGGACUUUCUCUCUGUCACACGCCCGCGGCGCGGACCGACGCCUGUCGACCUUCAUUCAUCGUUUUCUCGGUUGACCUCGGAUCAGGUAGGGAUACCCGCUGAACUUAAGC
rnacentral:misc_RNA from 1 species